rfam:Thermoactinomyces vulgaris strain NRRL F-5595 F5595contig23.1, whole genome shotgun sequence.
GUGCCCUUAGCUCAGCUGGAUAGAGCGUUUGACUACGGAUCAAAAGGUCGGGAGUUCGAAUCUUCCAGGGCACG